rnacentral:lncRNA from 1 species
GAAAUUCUGAGACCCACAGGCCCGAAGGAAAGUCCAAACUUUUCCAGUUGAGGAGACAGAAACUUCCAUCAAAAGUUCCAGGAGAUAAUGAAGAAGACAAUGUUUUCUAUUAUCUGUUUUUGAUUGGCCUUUUGCAAAAGGAGCCUCAUCUCGGACUCAAGGUAACAAAACAAAACACCUUUAUCUUAUCUGGAAGGGAGUGGGAUGAUCUAGGCAGGGGCUGUAUUGCUUUGUUUUUGUAACUUUGUUCCUACAGCGGCUUCUUGGAAAUGGGCUCCGAAAGAAAAAAUUCCCGAAAGGUGUAUGAGUGUGUGUAUGCGCGCGCCUGUCUCGGUAGGAGAUCUGUGGAUUUAAAAAAAAAAAAAAAAACUCCUCUAAUUCCCGCUUCGCCCAGCCAGAUUCUCCCCCUUAGCACCCUAUACUCAGGGCUACUUCCUCUGAAAAAGGCUUGGGAUCUGCCACUCUCCUCAAGAAACAAGUUUGGCUCUGUUAGCUAGAGCUUCAGGGACUGAGCCCAGGACCAGCUGGAGAGCUCUGCAGCUCCCCCUAGCCCGCCCGAGCGGGUGGCGGUCCUGGCUCCCCACACCAGCGCAGCCGGAGUCUGCGUUAGAGGAAUGCUCCCGCGCUUCUCCUGGGGCUCCCGCCCGCCCUGGGGACCCCUCCUCACCUGGCGCUGCGCUGUGCCACUUGCGGAAACCCGGAUCCCUGGGCAGACAGACGGGACUGAGAACACACCAAAUCCGAUUGCUUCUCGCCGCCAGCACUACUAGCCUCUAGCCAUGCGUUGUCACUGUGGUCACUGCGCCCUCCGCCCUCUGCGUGGCCCUAUGGUCCGACCCUCUCCUCCCCCGGCUUGGCGGGAGGAGGGACGGGGAGGAGCGUGCGACCGCCGGCCUCGCACAAACAGCUGCAGCUCGGCUUGCGAGCCUGUUCGGGUGCACUCUGCACUCUCUCCUGCUGGGGAACCCGCAACCUGGACCCCCCGGGAGCCUCCCCCGCCUCGGGAUGGGUCCCCGCAGUGCCUCCGACAGUGCUAAGCUCUCGACGUACUGUUCACACACUAGAUUCUCAUUAGGUCUGUUUCCUGCUUAACUCAUCCACAUCAAGCCUGUCUUGCUAGUUUCAUCUGUUCUCUAAAUUCACAAAGAUCACUAAAUGAUUCCGCGCCCAUCUGUCAUCUGAAAUGCAGGGUGCAUCACGCUUGUACAUACAUUGUACACUGAAUGCCAGUUUGGAAGUUGUGUGGACUGGGCUCCAGCUUGGAAAGCCUGCCGUGGUGUGUGGUGUCAGUCUCCUUUCUUUGUGCCAAGGAAAUGCAUUUGUGAGUUGGGGGAAAAUGGUGUUAUAAGGGGACAUGUUGCAAUACAGCCCAGUUUAACCCGGAGUUAUUUGAGAUUUAACUGAAACUCCUUCAUUUUCCAAUGUUGGCUCCUCUAUCCACUUUCUGAUAAAAGCAUACGCUUUUAAAGCUUUAGUCAGAAACUCAGAUAAAAUAGAGAUUUAUGUGUGGUGUUAUUAAAAUUUUGUAUUUUUAAAAUAGUAGUUUGUCAUUGGCAAAUUGACAGAACUGGAGAUGACAUUUUAUUUAUUUAUUUAGCAAAUUUUAUUCUGAGCACUGUAGUAAGAAGGCGAGGACUGUAGCUCGUUUCAUUUUUCAGUGGUGUGAUCUUGGGCAAGUCUGUUAUCAUCUCAGAUUUCUCAUCUGUAAAACACAGGUAGUCAGUCAGAAGUACCUUGUGAGAAUGAAAUGCCACUACAUGUGAAAUGCUUAGGACAGAACCUGGCAUAUGGGAAACAUUCACUCAAUAUGUGGAAUCUAAUAUUAAUAGCUGCAAAGAAGCAGUGACUUAUUUAAACAUAACAAUAAAUGAAAAUUUAGGUAAAACUGUAUCAGCCUAGUGACAAUUUCACUGUACUUCCUGUUAGAGCCGCCUGUGAUAAACUGCCCCAGAAUGUUAAUUUCAAAGAGUACAUUAUACCCCACCAAAGAAAACUCUUAAGGCCCAUCUUUGAUUGAUCUUAAGACCAGACCAAGAAGUUGGAGACUUUCAAGGCUUUGAGGAAUGGUCCUGAAAACAAUAAUGAAAUAUUUUAUUCACCUCUCUUACUGCCAGCAACAUACCAUCUCCUUCAAUCAUCAGAUUACUUUUCCGGGAAGGGAAUCCCAGAGUGAUUGGCAUUUGUUAGGUUAAUAACUUGAGGAGAUGUCCAGUGUAGUGUUCCUAGAUUUAGCAAACAAACAACAAACAAACAAACAAGAAAUGCAGGACUGUCAGUUGAAUUUGAAUUUCACAUAAACAACAAAUAACUUUUGGUAUGUCUUAUGCAAUAUUUGGAACAUACUCGACAAAAUUAUUUGUUGUUUACCUGAAAUUCAAAUUUAACUGGGCUUCCUGCCAUAUCUGACAAUCCUAAUAAAUGGAAUUAGUAAAGAAUAUUCCUCACAUUCCAAAAAGACAAGUCAACACAGGCAGAUUAAAGGUGAAUUUGAUGUGGGUUAUUUUAAAAUUUUAUGUGGUAAAGAAAAAGUGGAGUUGUGUUUAUAAGUUGAUUUGUUAUUGAGCUACUUCUUACCUCUUAGUUUCUGCCCGUAUCUCCACUGACAGCAAUACUUACUUACUAUUUAGUAUAAGUAAAAGUGGUUGCUUUUUGCUUUAUUCAAUAUAUUGAAUAUAAAUACAAUAAUGUAUUCAGUGGGGUUUUAUUUAAAUAGUGUUUAUUGAGGGCCAACUGCAUGUCAGGUACCAUUUCACAAAUGAAUAAGACAAAAGUUCAUGUCUGGAGGAUAAGGAAAUUUUAAAAAACCCAAAGUGCUACCCUAUCUAGGUAAAUACAGAAAGGUGGGUGUUCAGUGAAGUGAGUUAAUUGUCCUAGGAAAGGUGUGGAAACCAAGGAUGGGAUCCAUUGCAUGGGAUCCAAUAAAAAAAACUGCUCCAACCAGAAUGAGCAGAAGAGUAAAGACCCAGGAUGGCAGUUGUGCGUAAGUCUGGGAAGCAGCUCAUCGUUGAGUGGAGUAGGAAAGCUUCGGGGAGGUAAAUGGAAAUCCUUGAGAUUAUUACAUGGGGAUGGAAUGCAAAGAAAAAAAUUGGGACUAUAUUUUUCCACUUUAAAGUAUACAUUUAAAAUUAAAUCCAGGAACUGCAAGAGGAAAACAUCCAGAAAAGGCCUGAUGCAGCUUAUGAUGGAUUGAUCUGAACCUACAGGAGUAUCUCAAACAGGAGACCCCAUUUCAACCUGAAAUCUAAGAAUAUUCUCCAAAUGGCCCAGAGAAGGAAGUAUAAUCAGAAGACUGUGCUCAGCUACAGGAAACAGGUUUUAUGCAGUCUAAUCAUAGCAGCACUGCUUGUUGGUUUAUAACCUUUAGAAUCACAUUAUAAACAAGCCAAAGAAGGAUUAAUGUGACUAUAGGCAAAAUGUUAGUCAAAAAUGAUUAUUUUUUUUUUAAAUGUGCAAGUAAAAGUAGAUAGCAGGAUGUAGGAGUAGGGAGAAAAGGUUGAGUUACUAAGGUGCUCGGUUUAGAAAGUAGAGAAUCAGAAGAUACUGCAGCAACUUUGCAGAGGAGAGAACACUGGGGGCUGGGCAUAGAGAGGGAUCUCUGUCAGGAGUAGAGGGGCCAGAAUGUAUGUGAGCUAAAUCUUUGAUUUGCCUAGAAGAAAUUGGGUAGGAAGGGCCUACCAUGGUGCACCAAGAAAUAAUGACAUAUCAGGAUCUUUUGAAAAUAGGAAAAUACCCACCAGAAAUCCAAAACAUAAAUUAUUAAGAGUUUGGGGAAUGGGACUGGAGUUGGGGUUAGGGUUACAGUGGGCUAAAGUGGGGGACUCAUUUUUUUUUUAGUACUUUAGUACUUUUGAACAAUUUGAACUAUAUGCAUGAUGACAUUGAAUAAAUAUUUAAAACUUUUGAAGACUAGAAAUUUGUGAAAAGGAAGACUUAAGAAAAUGGCUUUCAAGAAUCAGUAAGACUAAAAAGAGCAUGCUACAGGGACACUGCUACAUGGAUGUUCAUAGCAGCACAAUUCACAAUAGCAAGACUGUGGAACCAACCUAGAUACCCUUCAAUAGACGAAUGGAUAAAAAAAAAAUGUGGCAUUUAUACACAAUGGAGUAUUACUCUGCAUUAAAAAAUGAUAAAAUCAUAGAAUUUGCAGGGAAAUGGAUGGCAUUAGAGCAGAUUAUGCUAAGUGAAGCUAGCCAAUCCCUAAAAAGCAAAUGCCAAAUGUCUUCUUUGAUAUAAGGAGAGUAACUAAG